UACGUAGGGUGCAGGCGUUAAUCGGAAUUACUGGGCGUAAAGCGCACGUAGGCGGCUUUACAAGUCAGGGGUGAAAGCCCGCGGCUCAACCGCGGAAUUGCCCGUGAGACUGUAUCGCUUGAACACGGGAGAGGUGAGUGGAAUUCCGAGUGUAGAGGUGAAAUUCGUAGAUAUUCGGAAGAACACCAGUGGCGAAGGCGGCUCACUGGACCGUAGUUGACGCUGAGGUGCGAAAGCGUGGGGAGCAAACAGG
rnacentral:rRNA from 1 species